rfam:Pteropus alecto contig71696, whole genome shotgun sequence.
CUGCCCAGACGCCUCGUCAUGACACCCACGGCGACGGCGACUCACUCGGGCUCGCUGGUGAACCCGCUGAGUGACAGAUUAAGUCUCGGCGUCGCUCCUGACCGAUGACACGGUUUCUGGCUGCCCGGG